UGCUGCAAACACAUGAACAAGCCUACCAAGGCUCAUAAUUUUGAUUUGAGGCGCAUCAUUCCAACGAUUUACUUUAUACAUAGAAGAUAAAUUAGCCAAAGCAUCUGCCAUCUGAUUCUCUUCACGGGGAAUAUGAUGAAACUCAACUUAUGUGGAAGAAAGUCAAUAACCUCCUUGCAUAAUCUUUGUAAGGAAUCAAGCCAGGAUGACGAGUCUCCCAUUCUCAUUUAAUCUGAUUAACCAC
rnacentral:lncRNA from 1 species